CUCUCUCUCUCUCUUUGUAACUUGCAGGUUAAGUGGAGCUAGAGAGCUACGUUGUAACCUAGUUGGAUUUUUUUGGGGGGGAAAUGUAUCAGAAUCUAACGAGUCCUUAAUAGAAAGAAGAACAGGGAAGAAGUGGUCCAGCCAGCGAAGGAGGAAGAUGAGAAGUAGCGAGAUGGAUGGGACAUCCCUUCUGGAUUUCCGAGGAGACACAGAAACUUGGCCGGGCCUCAGCCUCCCAGAAUGCCAGUUUUUCCCCUUGGAGACUUGAAGUUUUAAUUGAAACCAGAAAGCUAUUGAAGGCAGACCCAGCCAAUGAAACCUUGUUUUCUCUGCUGCUCAGGAAUGGGAAAUAAAUAAUGUUUUGCUGAUGGCA